rnacentral:lncRNA from 1 species
UCAGGGAUCCUAANAAGGGGGAUUGUAAGCUUGCCUACCUGCACCUGCGAGCAUAAAAUGCAAGCCCCGUAAAAUAGGGCGUCAGUACAAAAAAUGUACUGAGUAAGUAAGGCAUGAAAAUUAGUACAUAAAAGACAUAAAUGAAACAUGGAAUAUAGAAACAUGUCUUUAAAUCUGAAUAACUUUAUAAAUUCUAAAACACUUAUAAUAUCAUGCACGUGCGUAUAAAUGUCGUGUCAUGCAUAGGUAUGAGUGUACAUUAUAUCAUCAAGCCACUGAGGGCAUCCCAUCAUAUCGUCUCGGCCACUGUGGGCAACAUCACCAACAAAUACCAGCUGAUCAGAUGGUGGUGCGUAUAUAACGCCGUAACCUUUUUCCAUAGCCCAUAUACAUAUAUUUACAUAUAUACGCGUAUAUAACGUCAUCUGGUCAUGGAUCAACGCACAUGUAUGAAUGGGUGAAAUGCAUAAAAAAUACGUAAAAAUCUCAAUAUUCCUUCCGGAUAAAUUUUUUCAACUGCGUAUUAUUCUGAGACCCAUGAACAGAAGAUAAUAACAAUUCACAUGGGGAAUCAAGAAUAUAGACACCCCUAGUAUUUCUAUAAAUAGAGUAAUUUAUGGAAACUGUGCGUUUGCUCGUUUCUUCAGUAUAAUUUGGACCAUACCAAAAGAAAGAAGGAGGGCUUUAACAUACCUGGAGUAGGGAAAAUCCGUAUGAUAUUUUUGGAAAAGAUUGCACCGUACUCCUUUAGAACCGCAAAAAUUCUUACGUUGUUAAGCUUCUAAUAAUAAUUCUCGUUGAAUAUGAUAGAAGAAGCCUCGCUGCUACUGUUUUGUAGGAAUCUAAUGGUCAUGAAAAUGGUAACAAUUUGAACAAAAUCUCCUACUAAUCUCGCUACUGUUUGUAUUUGUAAUGAAAGUGAGGAUGGGACUUUGUUUGAAAUUCAGAAAGCAACAUUCUGUUGCAAAGCCUUCAAAAUGAAAUGAAUUGGAAUUUGAAAUUCAGAAAGCAACGUUCUAUUCCAAAGCCUUCAAAAUGAAAUGAAUUGGAAUUUGAAAUUCAGAAAGCAACGUUCUGUUACAAAGUCUUCAAAAUGAAAUGAAUUGGAAUUUGAAAUUCAAAAAGCAACGUUCUAUUACAAAGCCUUCAACAUGAAAUGAAUUGAAAUUUGAAAUUCAGAAUGCAAUGUUCUAUUGCAAAGCCUUCAAAAUGAAAUGAAUUGGAAUUUGAAAUUCAGAAAGCAACGUUCUGUUGCAAAGCCUUC